GCGGGUAUGGUGUAGUGGUAACAUACGACCCUUCCAAGGUCUUGUCACCAGUUCGAAUCUGGUUACCCGCU
rnacentral:tRNA from 1 species